AUGCUCCUGCCCACCCUGGGGACAUGGGGGGGGCUGUGGGGCACUGGGGAUGGGGUCCCCUUGCUUUGGGGUGGACCCCACUUUGGGGGUUCCACAGAUUCAGGGUCUUGGGGUCCUUCAGCUCCUGCCCCCUCUUCUUUGGGAUUCUGGGGGGUCCCAGGGGUCCCCCAUCUCCGGUCUCCCCCCUUUCUGGGAUCCUUGGGGGUCCCGGGGGUCCCCCAUCUCCAGUCUCCCCCCUCUCCAGGAUCCUGGGGGUCCUGGGCACCCCCCAUCUCCGGUCUCCCCCCUCUCCGGGAUCCCAGGGGUCCUGGGGGUCCCCAAGCUCUGGUCUCCCCCCUCUCCGGGAUCCUGGGGGUCCCCCAUCUCCGGUCUCCCCCCUUUCCGAGAUUCCAGGGGUCCUGGGGCUCUUCCUGCUCUGAGGUCCCAGAGAUCCUGGGGCUCCCCCCUCUCUGGGAUCCUAGGGGUCUGGGGGGUCCCCCAUCUCUGGGAUCCCCCCCUCUCUGGGAUCCCAGGGGUUUUGGGGGUCCCCCAGCUCCGAUCUCCCCCCUCUCUGUGAUCCCAGGGGUUUUGGGGGUCCCCCAGUUUGGUGUUCCCCCCACUCCGGGAUCCCAGGGGUUUUGGGGGUCCCCCACCUCCGGGCUCCCCCCUCUCCAGGAUCCCGGGGGUCCCACAGUCUGGUGUCCCCCCCUCUCCGGGAUCCCAGGGGUUUUGGGGGUCCCUCAGCUCCGAUCUCCCCCCACUCCGGGAUCUCAGGGGUCCCGGGGAUCCCCCACCUCCGGGCUCCCCCGUCUCCAAACCAAGAUACAGCCCCCAAAUCCUCUAAAACAGCAAGAUACAGCCCAAAACCCUCCAAAACAAGAAGAUACAGCCCCAAACACCACCCAGUUGUGGAUGGGAAAGAACUGGGAGUGUGAUGGAGCACCCAGUUGGACCCCAAGGGUUGGGGGUCUGCAACCAGCCCCCCCCCCAGGUCACUGCCCCCCAGUGUUGCACGGGGGGAAACUGAGGCAGGGAGCAUGGACCCCCAAAAGGGCUCCAAGAUGGGAGCUGUGGGGCCCCCGUUAUUUGUGGGGGGGCAGAGCCUGGGUGGGGGGAGAUGCUCCUGCCCACCCUGGGGACAUGGGGGGGGCUGUGGGGCACUGGGGAUGGGGUCCCCUUGCUUUGGGGUGGACCCCACUUUGGGGGUUCCACAGAUUCAGGGUCUUGGGGUCCUUCAGCUCCUGCCCCCUCUUCUUUGGGAUUCUGGGGGGUCCCAGGGGUCCCCCAUCUCCGGUCUCCCCCCUUUCUGGGAUCCUUGGGGGUCCCGGGGGUCCCCCAUCUCCAGU
rnacentral:lncRNA from 1 species